rnacentral:rRNA from 1 species
AACGAACGCUGGCGGCGUGCCUAACACAUGCAAGUCGCACGAGAAAGUUCUUCGGAACGAGUAAAGUGGCGCACGGGUGAGUAAUCCAUAGGAACGUGUCUUUAGGAGGGGAAUAACAACGGGAAACCGUUGCUAAUACCGCAUAAUCAGGUAACUGCAAAGACGGCCUCUAUUUAUAAGCUGUCACCUAAAGAGCGGCCUAUGUCCCAUUAGCUAGUUGGUGGGGUAAAAGCCUACCAAGGCAACGAUGGGUAGCUGGUCUGAGAGGACGAUCAGCCACACUGGAACUGAGACACGGUCCAGACUCCUACGGGAGGCAGCAGUGGGGAAUAUUGCACAAUGGGCGCAAGCCUGAUGCAGCAACGCCGCGUGAGUGAAGAAGGCCU